GGCCUUAUAGUCAAGUGGUUAAGACAUAAUAUUUUCGUUAUUACACGCGGCGGUUCAAUCCCGUCUGAGGCUA
rnacentral:tRNA from 2 species